GAGUUUGAUCGUGGCUCAGAUUGAACGCUGGCGGCAGGCCUAACACAUGCAAGUCGAGCGGAUGAAGGGAGCUUGCUCCUGGAUUCAGCGGCGGACGGGUGAGUAAUGCCUAGGAAUCUGCCUGGUAGUGGGGGAUAACGUCCGGAAACGGGCGCUAAUACCGCAUACGUCCUGAGGGAGAAAGUGGGGGAUCUUCGGACCUCACGCUAUCAGAUGAGCCUAGGUCGGAUUAGCUAGUUGGUGGGGUAAAGGCCUACCAAGGCGACGAUCCGUAACUGGUCUGAGAGGAUGAUCAGUCACACUGGAACUGAGACACGGUCCAGACUCCUACGGGAGGCAGCAGUGGGGAAUAUUGGACAAUGGGCGAAAGCCUGAUCCAGCCAUGCCGCGUGUGUGAAGAAGGUCUUCGGAUUGUAAAGCACUUUAAGUUGGGAGGAAGGGCAGUAAGUUAAUACCUUGCUGUUUUGACGUUACCAACAGAAUAAGCACCGGCUAACUUCGUGCCAGCAGCCGCAG
rnacentral:rRNA from 1 species